rnacentral:rRNA from 1 species
AUACGGAGGACGCGAGCGUUAUCCGGAUUCAUUGGGUUUAAAGGGUGCGCAGGCGGCCGUGCAAGUCAGCGGUGAAAGCCCGGGGCUCAACCCCGGAAGUGCCGUUGAUACUGCAUGGCUGGAAUGCGGUCGAGGCGGGCGGAACGUGGCGGGUAGCGGUGGAAUGCGUAGAGAGGACACAGAACACCGAUAGCGGAGGCGGCUCACGAGGCCUGAUUUGACGCUCGGGCACAAAAGCGUGGGGAUCGAACAGGAUUAGAUCCCCUGGUAGUCCACGCCGUAAACGAUGGGCUCUCGUCGUCGGCGGCAGACAGUCGGCGGCCAAGCGAAAGCGAUAAGCGCCCCACCUGGGGAGUACGGUCGCAAGGCUGAAACUCAAAUGAAUUGACGGGG